UGGGGAAUCUUGCGCAAUGGACGAAAGUCUGACGCAGCCACGCCGCGUGAGUGAAGAAGGCCUUCGGGUUGUAAAGCUCUGUCACCUGGGACGAAAAACAUUAAGGUUAAUAGCCUUAGUGUCUGACGGUACCAGGGGAGGAAGCACCGGCUAACUCUGUGCCAGCAGCCGCGGUAAUACAGAGGGUGCAAGCGUUGCUCGGAAUUAUUGGGCGUAAAGGGCAGGUAGGUGGUCUUAUUUGUCUAGGGUGAAAUCCCGGAGCUUAACUUCGGAAGUGCCUUAGAAACGGUAAGACUAGAGUCCUAGAGAGGUUCGUGGAAUUCCCGGUGUAGCGGUGAAAUGCGUAGAGAUCGGGAGGAAUACCAGAAGCGAAGGCGGCGAACUGGAUAGGAACUGACACUAAACUGCGAAAGCGUGGGGAGCAAACAGG
rnacentral:rRNA from 1 species